UAGGGAAUAUUAGAAAUGGACGAAAGUCUGAUCUAGCAACACCGCGUGUGCGAAGAAGGCCUUUGGGUCGUAAAGCACUUUUUGGAAGGAAUAGGAAGGAAUGUACUUCCAGAAUAAGUCUCGGCUAACUACGUGCCAGCAGCCGCGGUAACACGUAGGAGGCAAACGUUAUCCGGAUUUACUGGGCGUAAAGCGCGUGUAGGUGGUACUGUAAGUAGGGCGUGAAAGCUCCUGGCUCAACUGGGAGAGGCCGUUCUAAACUACAGAACUAGAGGAUGGUAGAGGGAGGUGGAAUUCCAGGUGUAGCGGUGGAACGCGCAGAUAUCUGGAGGAACACCGGUGGCGAAGGCGGCCUCCUGGACCAUUCCUGACACUCAGACGCGAAAGCUAGGGUAGCAAGCGG
rnacentral:rRNA from 1 species